UACAUUGUUGUUCAAGCAUUUUCUUUGUACUCAUUAACUGUUUAAUAGAAUUCACAUACUCAUCAUGCAGUUCAUUGAAUGCUUCAUGUAGUUCAUCAUAAGAGGGAUUAGAUUGAGAACUUACCUCACUUUCAGAUUCUGAAUCUGUGUUCGCCAUAAGGCAUAGAUUUGCUUCUUCUUCUUCUGAAGAGGCAGAGGAUUCUUCGUUGUCAUUCCAUGCAACAUAUGCUUUUCUGGUUUUGGGAGCUGGUUCCUUGCCUUUAGUCUUUGCUAUCCUAUUUUUGUUUUGCAACUUGUAACACUCAGACUUUAUAUGGCCUGUUUUACCACACUCAUAACAGGUGAUUGUCUUGCUGUCACUAGUCUUAG
rnacentral:lncRNA from 1 species